UCCCUGGUGGCUUAGAUGGUAAAGAACAUGCCUGCAAUGCAGGAGACCUGGGUUUGAUCCCUGGGUGGGGAA
rnacentral:tRNA from 1 species